rnacentral:rRNA from 1 species
GACGAACGCUGGCGGCGUGCUUAACACAUGCAAGUCGAACGGAAAGGCCCUGCUUUUGUGGGUUGCUCGAGUGGCGAACGGGUGAGUAACACGUGAGUAACCUGCCCUUGACUUUGGGAUAACUUCAGGAAACUGGGGCUAUUACCGGAUAGGAGCUCCUGCUCCAUGGUGGGGGUUGGAAAGUUUCGGCGGUUGGGGAUGGACUCGCGGCUUAUCAGCUUGUUGGUGGGGUAGUGGCUUACCAAGGCUUUGACGGGUAGCCGGCCUGAGAGGGUGACCGGCCACAUUGGGACUGAGAUACGGCCCAGACUCCUACGGGAGGCAGCAGUGGGGAAUAUUGCACAAUGGGCGGAAGCCUGAUGCAGCAACGCCGCGUGCGGGAUGACGGCCUUCGGGUUGUAAACCGCUUUCGCCUGUGACGAAGCGUGAGUGACGGUAAUGGGUAAAGAAGCACCGGCUAACUACGUG